GCCUGUGCUUCCAGCGGGUGGUGGGGGGCCUGGUGUGCUGGCAUCAAGUAAGCCGACUACCUCGGCAAAGGCUUAGGGACAAGAGACCAGCAGCCUGAACUGGCUGGGGCAUCCGGAAGGCUUAGAUCUUGUGGCCAAGAGUUCAGACCGUGGCGAAGUGGAGAGUGACAUGCAGUUGGAUGGCGGUGACUGCGUGGUAUGGAAUAAAAUUCAGCUGAAAUUUGCUAGAAAAUGAGUUGUAUUGGAAAGAGACUGUAGAGAAAGGCAAAUGGAAGAAGAAAGCUUCUGUGCCCCCACAGAUACCGACUGAAAAGUGUUAGCAUGAGCAAAAGUUCCUAUCUAAUAUUAUAUGCUUUCCUUUGCUCCCAGAUGAUGUCAGAAGUGGGAUCCAAAGUAGAGCUUAUAAUGACACCCAGGAGUGCUGAGUGACCAAGCAAGGUACCCACCAGGCCGAUUAUGUCCAUUGUUCUCUUGGAGCAGCUGGUCAUCAUGAACCUGAAGAUCAGAUCUUCUGAGAACAUCAGAAAAAGACUUCCCUU
rnacentral:lncRNA from 1 species